GCUUGUCUCAAAGAUUAAGCCAUGCAUGUCUAAGUAUAAAUAACUACACAGUAAAACUGCGAAUGGCUCAUUAAAACAGUUAUAGUUUAUUUGAUACAUUUUAAAUGGAUAACUGUAGAAACACUAGAGCUAAUACAUGCUAAGACCGUAAGGUUGUAUUUAUUAGAUAUACCGAGUAGGUGAAUCAUAAUAACUUCGCAAAUCGCAGUAAUACUGCGAUAAAUCAUUCAAGUUUCUGACCUAUCAGCUUCCGACGGUAGGGUAUUGGCCUACCGUGGCAAUGACGGGUAACGGGGAAUUAGGGUUCGAUUCCGGAGAGGGAGCCUGAGAAACGGCUACCACAUCUAAGGAAGGCAGCAGG
rnacentral:rRNA from 1 species